UCGAUUUACCUCUGUCAAACUGGCUUGAAGAGACUGGCAUGUUCGGUAUAUUCUCAAAUUCUCGAAAAUCCUCAUCAUUUGACCAAGCAUGUCUUCGAAUGUAAUUAUGCAAAACCAUUGUUGCAAUAACUAUUAAAACUUGCUUGUCGAAUGAAUAACUUGGAAUAUCUCUUAAUAUUGGCCAUUUUUUUUCCACACUCCAAAUGUUCGUUCAAUCACAGAGCGUAACGAAGAAUGGGCAUGAUUAAAGAUUUCUUUUUUUCCAGAUACUUGAUGAUUACCUCGACGAAAAUCAGGUAAAUGAUAUCG
rnacentral:lncRNA from 1 species